rnacentral:rRNA from 1 species
UACGGAGGAUCCGAGCGUUAUCCGGAUUUAUUGGGUUUAAAGGGUGCGUAGGCGGACUUAUAAGUCAGCUGUGAAAGUUUGCGGCUCAACCGUAAAAUUGCAGUUGAAACUGUUAGUCUUGAGUGUACAUAAGGUAGGCGGAAUUCGUGGUGUAGCGGUGAAAUGCUUAGAUAUCACGAAGAACUCCAAUUGCGAAGGCAGCUUACCGGGGUACAACUGACGCUGAGGCACGAAAGCGUGGGUAUCAAAC